CACAGCCACAGCUCUGUCUUGAGAGAGUCAAGAAUGAGGGCUAUUUAUUUUGUGAUGUUACAGGUCUGCCCACAUCAGUGCCCACCAGGAAAACUGCUGCUAUGUUAUCAAGAAUUUAAAGGUGAAAGGCAACUUGGUGACUUUUAAAAAUCGUUAUUCAUUCAUGCUAAAAUGUAAGGAGUUGAGUGGAGUGUACUGUGUCUGGGAGGAAUGUACUCCUGUACUGUGUUUCUGUGGCACCACAUGACAUUAGAAUUAAUGAAGUUACAACGAAUCACUACAGGGGUCCGGCGGAUGUUAGCUAUCUGGAAAUACCUACCUAUGGCUGUUCUCCAUUUGAGGUUAAAAAGCCAUGCUAUCCAUCAUGUGUUACCUCACAUUGGUGUUCCCCGCUUCUUUCACUCAGAAUCCUAACUCUUCAGAGACACAGGAAAGUGCCAGUUUCAACAAAUGUUGUGAUUAUCUACAGGCAAGCCAUGCAACACCCGUUAAACAUUAAUAUAAAACUACUGCUCAUCUUUAAAGCAAUGAUUUAAAGCCAUAAAUGUAACAGGAAGAUCUAAUUCUGGAAGAUAUACAAAUGCCGAAAGGAAAAUUAAAGCCACUUACCCCGAGGAAGAGAUGAAGGUGAAGAACUUUCUGGGCCUGAGUCUGUGGGAACACAGAAGAAAGAAAGAAGAACUGAGACUUAAAUGAAGCUUAACUGGUACAUCUGGACUCUGAUGAGUGAGAAGUCCAAGCAAAUAGAAAAGCCACAGCCAAACGUUGCAGGUCUGUUGGAGUUUGCUGGAGGUCCACUGCAGAUCCUGUUUGCCUGGGUGUCACCAGCAGGGGCUGCUGAACAGCAAAUAUUGCAGAACAGCAAAUGUUGCUGCCUGAUCCUUCUUCUGGAAGCUGCGUCUCAGAGGGACACCUGGAUGUAUGAGAUGGGUUCUCUACCUGGCCUGUGCCUUGUUGCCUGUUCCUUUACUGUACAUGUGAUGACAAGAAAAGAAGAUGGACCCUCCAUGUUGAACAUGCCUGGCCCUCAGGUAGCCCUUUUCUAUUGGCACAGCUGCUGGCAUUCAUCUGUGCAAGCUUCCAGCUUGCUCAUGUAUGUCUGCAGCUCGAUUUCUCAGGCUGCUCUUUGUUAGAAAAGAAAUGAUUUUUUGGGCUGCUUUUUGUUAAAAUGGAAAAUUCUGCCUAUGACUCUGUUGUCCUUACUAUCUGCCUAAAUAAUUUAUUUCUAUGUCCUGUAUCACUGGAUUCCCCCCACCUACCAAGUUGUUCUUAAAAACUGCUCCCUGAAUGCUCUAAGAGACUGAUUGAGUUUUGAAUAAAACUUUGGACUCCCA